GAUUUGCCUCAUUGAAGAUACAGAUAAAUGAUUUUCUGACCUCAUAUGGAUUCUCACUUCCAUUCCUCAUGUCUCCUAUGUCUUGUGUCUCUUACACAGGCAGAACGACCUGGGCCGUAGAUUAUACGGUGAACGAGGGCGGCGGCAGCACUAGAGCGCGACAAGGCUGGUUGAGAACUCUACAUCUCGCUGGAGUGAACUUGUUUCCCAGACGUCUCAUGCCGAAGUCUGAGGCACUGGCGUACUUAGCCAUGCCGUUAAGAAGCCAAAUCCAUAGGUUGUGAGCGAGGUGUUCAUCCGCACUGUUGCCUGACUGUGAAGCUCUGCCACCAUGCGAAACCCUCUCAAGCCACUCAAUGUAUUCUUCUUUCUUCUGAUUGCAUGUUUUGUAUAUGUGGAUGCUUGUUUUUUUAUGUGCGUGCGUGCGUGUGCGUGUGUGGUAGGUUUCAAGACUAUUAGAGUCCAUGUCGUUUUGGUACUUGUAUGUUCAAUGUAUAUAUACACAUAAAUCGUGUUUCUCUUGCUAGACCGUGAGAUUCUGGGAAUAAACAUAACAAUAUCAUCGUCA